UGUGAAGAGGGCUGUCCUGUGUGUUGUA
rnacentral:piRNA from 1 species